CAGUUGCUAAAUCAUGAAUUGUGAGAUU
rnacentral:piRNA from 1 species